AGAAUAAAAAUCGAGGCGUCGCUCUUUUUUUUUAAGGGUGAUCGCGUCGGAAUUGAGCCGUCUUUCAAAUGUUAAUUCAUGUCAAAGUGGCUUAAAAUUCAUCCAUCCGGUACGAUUAAAGCGUAUUUAAGAUCAAUUUUGUUCAAGAACGCGCGAUGACGUACCAUCUCAUGUAGUACGUUUGACUUGGCGUCGUCAGGAUCAUUCGUAUACGAUACUCAAAC
rnacentral:misc_RNA from 1 species